UAUGAUGGACCCUUCCUAGUACGAAAGGACCGGAAGAGUGGGGCCAAUACUGCACAGCACGCCCCCAAAAAAACAGUGAAUACAACUAAACUGCCACAACACCUCACUCAGCCCUAGACAAGGGCA
rnacentral:rRNA from 1 species